UAUAAAACUAUGCUUAUUUAGAAAAUAUCCUGGGUUAUAUGUGAAAUAUGAUAUAUUUCUAGGUAUUAUAUUCCUUUAGGAUGGGUAUAUAAACAUAUACCCAGCUCCUAGAACUGGGCUUACAGUGUCAUAGGGUAUAUAUGUGUGCCUGUGUUCAACCUGACUAUAUGAUAUAACUAAAUCUCUCUGCUAAACAGUGUAGCAGCCAUGGACUCUGUAGCAAUUCUAUAUACUUGCUGGUGUUUAGUAAUGUCAGACUUACUAAACUUUGCUAAUCUGAGGUUUUUAUUUAUAAUUACUGCUUUAUUUUUAAGUACCUUGUUACAUUUACUGACAUAAUAUGAGCCUAUUUCUACAAAGUGUGUAAAUUUCUGUCCUUUGUGAUUUUCUUAGAUUUUUCUCUUUGAUUUCUACUGUCACUGUUGUGUCUUCUGGGUAGCAUGAUAUACAUAUACUUGGCUAACUUCUAUUGAAAGAUAGAAAUAAGAGAUAGCUUAGAGUUUAGCAGGUUAACGCUUUUAAAAUAGAUAUUUUUGUCCCUGUGGAUGAUUUCUUUCCCCCAAUUUGACUUGAUUCUGUCUGUUUAUCAUCGUCUUUGUUUUCCGUGAGUUUUUUCUCAGACACUGUGUAGUGGCUGUAUGAUUACCAUAGUUAAGUGUAUUUGGCACUUAGGCUCCGCUGUAUUGCUAAGAGCUCUGGGAGCCUGACCAUUAUGCUUCUUAUUGUAGUGUUAAUGGGAUUUCCCCAGAGAAGUCUUCAUCUCCUAUCAGGAAAGGUAAAGUGGAUAUUGGUCUCUUUGUUUCAAGGAUGCCACCUUUACCUUCAGCAGUGCCUGUUUCCUCAGUCUCUGUUUCUUCCUCUCCCAUGCACUGAACUUAGCUUUCCCAGGGCAGGGUGAGGAGUGAGGUGCGUGCCUGACUAUGGCUUGUGUAGGUUUUUUCCUAAUCCACCUUCCAGAGCUGUCUGAUGCCACUGUUGGAAGCUUAAUCAGGCAGCUGGGCGGAGAAUAUUGUAAUCAUAAGUAAACACUUUCGUAAUUUCCCCCAUUUUAUCAUAAAAAUUCUGUGGCAAGGUAGACAAAAUUAUAGCCUAACGCUUUAAAGGGGGCUUAGUUCAAACUUCCUUUGUGUUCCUUAGAUCAUAGACUGUCACUUAUUUCUGUCCCCACCUCUCUCCUCAAGGCUUGUUGACACCAUGUGUGCUUCUGGGGUGGUUCUGUGUCUUUCCCCAUUGGGUUGAGUGCUUCCGCUCUGGUAAAUAAUAGAUUAUGUUUAUGAUAAAAACGCUUUUGUGUGCUUAUUACUAGAAACUCCUCUGAUGUCUCAGUAUUAGUAUAGACAGAAUCUUAUGUAUAUUUUAUUUUCUGUUGUAAAUAGGCAACAUCUCUUACCUUCUAGUCCUUUGAAGAGAUACUUCAAAAUAACUUUGGCCUCAAAUCAAAAUUAAUUUUUGGUUUUAUAGAAAGUAACUUUUUAUACAUAUUUUUGACAUUUUUUGUAUCUAGACUGAAUUUUUUAGGAAUAAGAUUCAAAGGGGAAGAAAGCUGGAAAUGAAUGUUAUGUUCAUUUUUUUAAGCUAAAUGUUAGAAUUACAUAUUUUGAAAUGGAUCUGAAUUCAUCUGGGCACAGUAUUAUACAGCUUUUUAAACAGCUCCAAAGCCACUGGCAAGGAUAGUGUUUGUAGGAAGUGGUAAUUCCAUACAGCAGUCCCAGUGCAAAACAGAUGCCCCUCAUUCUUUCCUGCUUGUUAACUUCAGUACCACUUUGGAGAACGUGAAUUUUCAUCCUGUUCAGCUCUGUUUGUGUAGAGCUAGGACUGUGCCAUUCCAGGCUUGUACACUAAGCAGAUGUUAAGCCAGGCAGAGGCAUGUGUUCAUUUCAGGAACCAGGAAAAGGAAAUUGUCCUAAAGAAAUAGAGGGAUAGCAGACCACAAAAUGAUUCAGCUGAUAAAGUGCUUGCCACCAGGCCUGAUAUUCUGAGUUCCUAACUGAAAUGGUAGAAAGAGAGAACCAAGAGAGAAAUUGUUCUUUAAUCUCUGUGUGCUUGGUCAUGCUGGUGUAUGCAGUCACACACACACAAAAGAUAUAUAAAAAGAUACUUUAAGCAGUCUUAAUAUGAGGCUUUUGAAAUUGAGCAUUUCAUAUCUUUAUUUAAUAACGUUUUUGUAAUUACCUUUCCCAUUGUGGUUGCUAUGUGAACAGAAUAUCAUGAACUUAGUGUCUUGAGUGUUUUCUUCAGUGUUUGUUGAAUAAAUGACAUUCUACCAGCAGAACACUGUUAAAAGGAAGGUUACCCCUCGCCCUCAGAUCUGGUGUCUUCUUUUAGUUUUCUUACAUAUAAUAGACCCACCUGUUCUCAUCCAUUCUCAAGGAUAUUUUGCUUGAGCUCUACUUCUGAUCCCAUAGACACAACAAAGUACAAAAUAGAUUAAAAAAAAAAAAAACAAAAAAAAAAACAGAGCAGUGUCUGAUAGGCUGUACUAUUAGGCUGUUCCUUGUGUGGCUUCCUAAGUAACAGAGAGUAGGUUUUGGCCAGCAAGGAAAACAUGCAGUUCCCUUAGU
rnacentral:lncRNA from 1 species